rnacentral:tRNA from 1 species
GCGGAAGUAGCUCAGCGGUAGAGCAUCGCCUUGCCAAGGCGAGGGUCGCGGGUUCGAAUCCCGUUUUCCGCUCCA